CCUACGGGUGGCAGCAGUGGGGGAUAUUGGACAAUGGGGGGAACCCUGAUCCAGCGACGCCGCGUGAGUGAAGAAGCAUUUCUGUAUGUAAAGCUCUGUCAGUAGGGAAGAAAGCAAUGACGGUACCUGACCAAGAAGCCCCGGCUAACUACGUGCCAGCAGCCGCGGUAAUACGUAGGGGGCAAGCGUUAUCCGGAAUUACUGGGUGUAAAGGGAGCGUAGACGGCUGUGCAAGUCUGGAGUGAAAGGCGGGGGCCCAAACCCCGGACUGCUCUGGAAACUGGAUGGCUGGAGUGCAGGAGAGGUAUGCGGAAUGCGUGGUGUAGCGGUGAAAUGCAUAGAUAUUAGGAAGAACACCGGUGGCGAAGGCAGCUUACUGGACUAUAACUGACGUUGAGGCUCGAAAGCGUGGGUAGCAAACAGGAUUAGAUACCCCGGUAGUC
rnacentral:rRNA from 1 species